UGCUGGUGUUUCAUCAGCGCAUAAAAGGGAAUCAGGUGAGAGUCCUGAGCAGUGCCCGCUACUGUCAUCUCCAUUAUGGGAAGUCCAUAUCAAGCCACUGAGCGAACCUUGGGAAGGCGGACUUUUCGGAGAGAGCCAGGAAACCUGCCAUGUCAAA
rnacentral:ncRNA from 1 species